AGCCAGACUAGAUCUCUAAAGGCUUCUAGGGCUAACAUUACAGACCCAUUACGUAACCUAAUUUUAAAACAUUCUCCUACAUUACACUAAGAUUAUUAGGCACAAUGUUCUCAUAAGGAAAUUCGAGAGCACUACUGUGUAACAGUAAUUCUGCUGCCGAAGCACUGCACCCUUGCCUCACAAGAGAAGCACACCACCAUACCCACCCUACCAUCUCCUCCCAGGAGCAGGUAUUGGGAAGUUAGCAGUGACCAAAAAUGAGCAAGUCUAUGGAGCUUAUAUUCCAGAGGAGAAGACAGACACCAAAUAAACAAACAUACAUCAGAUGCUAAUAAGUGCUGUGGAAACAAAUAAGGCAAAUGCCCAGUGGAGAAUGGGACCUUAUUUUAUAGAAUA